GUCACUUCCAGUAUGUCGCGAGAGUUCUCCUGUAAAUACGAUAAGAGCAGCAAAGAGAUGAGAACCGCGUCCAACCUUGCUUAUACGUUCGCGUAGAUAGAAGAAUAGCAGAAUAAACCACGUGUAUUGUUGCUGUCGUCUCGACGUUCAGUCUUCAAUACAGGUUUCCAGUAUGCUAAACACAACGCUCACUGAAAUGCUAAUGAAGCUAACGUCACGUAGCAAUGCGUAAGGUUCUGGAACGGUCCUUGAACAUGGCUUAUCAUCACCACAGCACUAGCAUUCACUUCAAGCAAACACAUUCCUGUGCAAGACUCUCAUGAGUAGAAGUGUUCAUUUCAGGCAAGGCCUCUACUCUUGGACCCUGGAGAGAUUAAUGUGGACAUAAAUUGCAUUUGCUGCGCUACACAAAUCUUUUACCACUGGACAACAAUAAGAUCUGAGAGCGGGACUUUACCACAAACACUUCACAGCUAGAGACAGAGCAUUGCUGACCGCACUGACGAACGUCACCGCUUGAGUAGAUGAGCCCCAGUUCACGUCUGGAGAGGACCAUAAUGGCUACAGAUAUGCCCAACAGCAGCACCACUGUGAUGACUCCAAUAAUUCUAAUGUCAUUUAAUGGAUCCACCAUGAGUACAUUAUGCUCCUGAAGCGAGAGAACACAAUUAUGU